rnacentral:rRNA from 1 species
AGUACGGCGGAACACGAGAAAUUCCGUCGGAAUCCGCGGGGACCAUCCCGCAAGGCUAAAUACUCCCUAGUGACCGAUAGUGAACCAGUACCGUGAGGGAAAGGUGAAAAGCACCCCGGAAGGGGAGUGAAAUAGAUCCUGAAACCGUGUGCCUACAACAAGUCAAAGCUCGUUAAUGAGUGAUGGCGUGCCUUUUGUAGAAUGAACCGGCGAGUUACGAUUGCAUGCGAGGUUAAGUCGAAGAGACGGAGCCGCAGCGAAAGCGAGUCUGA